rnacentral:rRNA from 1 species
GACGAACGCUGGCGGCGUGCCUAACACAUGCAAGUCGAGCGAACAGGCGAGGCGCUUGCGCGGCGGACGUGAGGGGAACGGGGGAGAAAAACGCGUGUAUAACGCACCUGUAAGACGGGGAACACUUGGGGAAAGGGGCGCUUAUAGCGUAGAAGAUAUUGAUCCACGGUGGUGGAUGGUAAGUUACGGCUGUUGGGGAUGGUAUCGCGGCUUACCCGCCUCGUGGUGGGGUUGUGGCGGUCCAAGGCUUCGACGGGUAGCCGGCCUGAGAGGGUGACCGGCCACAUGGGGACUGAGAUACGGCCCAGACUCCUACGGGAGGCAGCAGUGGGGAAUAUUGCACAAUGGGCGGAAGCCUGAUGCAGCAACGCCGCGUGCGGGAUGACGGCCUUCGGGUUGUAAACCGCUUUCGCCUGUGACGAAGCGUGAGUGACGGUAAUGGGUAAAGAAGCACCGGCUAACUACGUG